GACGAACGCUGGCGGCGUGCUUUAUACAUGCAAGUCGAACGAUGAAGUUCCUUCGGGAAUGGAUUAGUGGCGAACGGGUGAGGAACACGUGAGAAACCUGCCUUUCAUUCUGGGAUAACACCGGGAAACCGGUGCUAAUACCGGAUACUCCAUCUUGGCGGCAUCGCCGAGCUGGGAAAAAAUUUUGAUGAAAGAUGGUCUCGCGGCCUAUCAGCUAGUUGGUGAGGUAAAGGCUCACCAAGGCGACGACGGGUAGCCGGCCUGAGAGGGCGACCGGCCACACUGGGACUGAGACACGGCCCAGACUCCUACGGGAGGCAGCAGUAGGGAAUAUUGGGCAAUGGGCGAAAGCCUGACCCAGCGACGCCGCGUGAGGGAUGAAGGUCUUCGGAUUGUAAACCUCUUUCAGUAGGGAAGAAGCGAAAGUGACGGUACCUAAAGAAGAAGCACCGGCUAACUAUGUGCCAGCAGCCGCGGUAAUACAUAGGGUGCAAGCGUUGUCCGGAAUUAUUGGGCGUAAAGAGCUCGUAGGUCGUUUGUCGCGUCGAUUGUGAAAAUCUGAGGCUCAACCUCAGACCUGCAGUCGAUACGGGCAAACUAGAGUGUGGUAGGGGAGACUGGAAUUCCUGGUGUAGCGGUGGAAUGCGCAGAUAUCAGGAGGAACACCAAUGGCGAAAGCAGGUCUCUGGGCCAUAACUGACACUGAGGAGCGAAAGUGCGGGGAGCGAACAGGAUUAGAUACCCUGGUAGUCCGCACCGUAAACGGUGGGCACUAGUUGUGGGAACCUUCCACGGUUUCCGCGACGCAGCAAACGCAUUAAGUGCCCCGCCUGGGGAGUACGAUCGCAAGAUUAAAACUCAAAGGAAUUGACGGGGCCCCGCACAAGCAGCGGAGCAUGCGGCUUAAUUCGACGCAACGCGAAGAACCUUACCAAGGCUUGACAUAUAGUGAAAAGUGGCAGAGAUGUCA
rnacentral:rRNA from 1 species